rnacentral:rRNA from 1 species
GAUGAACGCUAGCGGCAGGCCUAAUACAUGCAAGUCGAACGGGAUCCAGAUCACAGCUUGCUUUGGUCUGGUGAGAGUGGCGCACGGGUGCGUAACGCGUGAGCAACCUACCCUUGUCAGGGGGAUAGCCCGGCGAAAGUCGGAGUAAUACCGCAUGACAUCAUUGAGAGGCAUCUUUCGAUGAUCAAAGAUUUAUCGGACAAAGAUGGGCUCGCGUGACAUUAGCUCGUUGGUAAGGUAACGGCUUACCAAGGCGGCGAUGUCUAGGGGCUCUGAGAGGGGAAUCCCUGACACGGGAACUUAGACACCGACCAGACUCCUACGGGACGCAGCAGUAAGGAAUAGGGGGCAAUGGACGGAAGUCUGAACCAGCCAUGCCGCGUGCAGGAGGACGGCCCUAUGGGUUGUAAACUGCUUUUAUACGGGAACAACCGUCGGUACGUGUACCGGUCUGAGUGUACCGGAAGAAUAAGGAUCGGCUAACUCCGUG